CUUCAGAAACAAAAACUAUAAUCAAAAUAUCAUAAAGGAAAUAUUAUAUCAUGGAAAGAAGUCAGGCUUAUAUAUGGGAACUGAACUUGAAGACUUCUUGAGUCCCUUUCAACUCCAAUUCUAUUAUCUCAUAACCUCUCUUACAUAAGUGGGUGGAUAGUACCUCUAUUGUAUACAAAAAGGAGAAGAGGCACAAGAUGAACAAGCAAGAAUUCAGCAGAAGUCUCCCAAUAUUCUCC
rnacentral:lncRNA from 1 species